rnacentral:rRNA from 1 species
GACGAACGCUGGCGGCGUGCUUAACACAUGCAAGUCGAACGGAAAGGCCUGCUUUCCCUUGUGGAUUGCGGGUACUCGAGUGGCGAACGGGUGAGUAACACGUGAGUGAUCUGCCCCCAACUUGGGUAUAAGCCUGGGAAACUGGGUCUAAUUCCCGAUAGGACUGCAGGGUGGUGCCUGUGGUGGAAAACGAUUUUCUAGUGGUUGGGGAUGAGCUCGCGGCCUAUCAGCUUGUUGGUGGGGUAAUGGCCUACCAAGGCGGCGACGGGGAGCCGGCCUGAGAGGGUGGACGGCCACAUUGGGACUGAGAUCCGGCCCAGACGCCUACGGGAGGCAGCAGUUGGGAAUAUUGGACAAUGGGCGGGAGCCUGAUGCAGCGACUCCGCGUGGGGGAUGACGGCCUUCGGGAUGUAAACUCCUGUCGACCACGAGCAAGCCACCUGGUUGGAAGGGUGGUGACGGUAGUGGUAGAAGAAGCACCGGCUAACUACGUG